CUUUUUUUGUGUGUGAAACAAAGAAAGGAGAACAAAAGGAUUGAAAGACUGAAAUGAAAAUAAAAGUUUAAAUAUGUAGAUCCAAAGUUCAGAGGAGACUAGAAACAUUCCGAAGUGAGACAAAAUGAACAGUGAGAAAUAAGAAGAUUAUACUUAACCAAGAAAUGAUUUUUUGUUUAUUUUAGACUUCACAAAGGAACAUAAAAGACAAGUACCAGGAAAAGACAUAUUUAUACGGAAGAAAAAAAGGUGAAAACCAAAAUGACCCAAAUGAAAAGAAGAUAAAUAUCAUUCCUCAAACAAUACCUUCACAUCAUAGUUGGAAAAAGUGGAAAGAGACAGAAAACGGGCUGCUGGGUCUCCAGAAGGUAUGCACAGCAUGGGAAUUCCUCCUGCAACAUCUCUUCAGAUGGUCUUUGAGAUGACCUCCUCUUCCAGACCAGGUUAGAUUCUCUGUUCUCUGUUAUUGGCUUCUACAGCACCAUUAAAAAACUGCUUUGUGGAACCUAGCAUAGCAAUUAAUUCAUAAUUACUACAGACACAGAGAAUGGACUUGUGGUUUCCAGGAGAGAAGAGGGAUGGGAGAGGGAUGGAUUAGAAGUUUGGGGUUAGCAGGUGCAAAUUAUUUACAGAAUGGAUCAACAACAAAAUCCUAUUGUAUAGCACAGGAAGAUAGAGUCAAUAUCCUGUGAUAAACCAUAAUGGAAAAGAAUAUAAAAAGAAUGUAUAUGUAUGGAUAUCUGAACCAUUUUUCUAUAUAGUGGAAACUAACACAACAAUAUAAAUCAACUGUAUGUCAACAAAAAAACGAAUUUAUAGUUACUAAUUCCAGCCAUUCCCAAAAAGCAAUCAGCUCCAUGAGGACAGGAAAUAAGUCUUCUUCCUUGUAUCCUAAUUAUCUUAGCACAGUCCUUGGAACAUAUUAGAUAUUUAAUAAAUACUUUUGACUAUGACUGUUUUUUUCUCCU
rnacentral:lncRNA from 1 species